rnacentral:rRNA from 1 species
UACGUAGGGUGCGAGCGUUAAUCGGAAUUACUGGGCGUAAAGCGUGCGCAGGCGGUUUUGUAAGCCAGAUGUGAAAGCCCCGGGCUUAACCUGGGAAUGGCAUUUGGGACUGCAAGGCUUGAGUGCGGCAGAGGAGACUGGAAUUCCUGGUGUAGCAGUGAAAUGCGUAGAUAUCAGGAGGAAUACCGAUGGCGAAGGCAGGUCUCUGGGCUGACACUGACGCUCAUGCACGAAGCGUGGGGAGCAAACAGG